ACGUCUUCCGUAGGGUAACCUGCGGAGGGAUCAUUACACAAAUAUGAAGGCGGGCUGGAACCUCUCGGGGUUACAGCCUUGCUGAAUUAUUCACCCUUGUCUUUUGCGUACUUCUUGUUUCCUUGGUGGGUUCGCCCACCACUAGGACAAACAUAAACCUUUUGUAAUUGCAAUCAGCGUCAGUAACAAAUUAAUAAUUACAACUUUCAACAACGGAUCUCUUGGUUCUGGCAUCGAUGAAGAACGCAGCGAAAUGCGAUAAGUAGUGUGAAUUGCAGAAUUCAGUGAAUCAUCGAAUCUUUGAACGCACAUUGCGCCCUUUGGUAUUCCAAAGGGCAUGCCUGUUCGAGCGUCAUUUGUACCCUCAAGCUUUGCUUGGUGUUGGGCGUCUUGUCUCUAGCUUUGCUGGAGACUCGCCUUAAAGUAAUUGGCAGCCGGCCUACUGGUUUCGGAGCGCAGCACAAGUCGCACUCUCUAUCAGCAAAGGUCUAGCAUCCAUUAAGCCUUUUUUUCAACUUUUGACCUCGGAUCAGGUAGGGAUACCCGCUGAACUUAAGCAUAUCAAAANCCGGGAGGAA
rnacentral:rRNA from 1 species